rnacentral:snoRNA from 1 species
CUGCUAUGAUGUUUGACUAUUUUUCGUCAACAGCAUCUCACUGUGUGAAUGUUGACAACCUCAGUCUGAGCAG